UCAUCUGACAGUGAAGUUGAGAGCAACAAAGCAGACACACCAGGGUCCAGUCACACACAACACAACAUCACAAAAGAUAGUUCUCAUCUGUUAUAUCAUGCAGCUCUCACACUCAAAGACAUCAUUCACAGCAACAACUUCUCCAAAGCUCCAUUGGCCUCCAACAGCAAAAGACCUAACACCUAAAUAUGGUACCAGACAAACUUUUCAACUUUGUUGCAUUGACAUGUAGAAUUUCACUAGAACCGUCAGACAAUGAGCGUGUUGAGGUCACAUUAGAAGACCGCCGGAAGAUAGUUUGUACCUGUCAAGACAUUAUUACCUUGAGCACCAAAAGACGGUGGCUCAUGCCAAAACAAUGCUCUCUAGCAAUGACAGUUCAGCAUAUGACUGGCUCAGCACAACUCAUAGGCCUGCUAAAUGAUCUUGGCCACUGCUCAUCCAGUUCCCAUGUCCUUGAGCAUAACACAGCUCUUGCUCACUUACAAAUUGAAAGAGGAGAAACAUACAUCCCAGAAAACAUAAGUGCUGAAGUAUCUGCCACAUCUGUCUGGGACAAUAAUGACUUUGAAAAGGAGACGCUCUCAGGUAAAGGGACAACACACAACACCAAUGGUAUAAUUAUUCAGCAGGCCAUUACUAG